rnacentral:misc_RNA from 1 species
GAUGAAGAACGCAGCGAAACGCGAUAUGUAAUGUGAAUUGCAGAAUUCAGUGAAUCAUCGAAUCUUUGAACGCACAUGGCGCCUUCCAGUAUCCUGGGAGGCAUGUCUGUCCGAGCGUCGUUUCAACCCUCGAGCCCCCGUGGCCCGGCGUUGGGGAUCUGCCACGGCAGGCCCCUAAAACCAGUGGCGGACCCGAAGGCCCUCUCCUUUGCGCAGUAGCAUCAGCCUCGCAUUGGGAUCCCUCGGCGUCCUGCCUCUAAACCCCCCACAAGUCCGCUCCGGCGGCACCAAGGUUGACCUCGGAUCAGGUAGGGAUACCCGCUGAACUUAAGCAUAUCAAUAAGCGGAGGA